rnacentral:rRNA from 1 species
GUGUCAGCCGCCGCGGUAAUACGAAGGUGGCAAGCGUUGUUCGGAAUCACUGGGCUUAAAGCGCACGCAGGCGGAUGAUCAAGCGUCUUGUGAAAGCCCUCGGCUCAACCGGGGAAUUGCUGGGCGAACUGAUCGUCUUGAGGCAAGUAGGGGCGAGUGGAACUCUUGGUGGAGCGGUGGAAUGCGUAGAUAUCAAGAGGAACGUCGGAGGCGAAGGCGACUCGCUGGGCUUGUCCUGACGCUGAGGUGCGAAAGCCAGGGGAGCAAACGGGAUUAGAUACCCCCGUAGUCC